GGAGCUACGGUACACAAGCACAGGUUCACAUUUAUGAAGCAGCCAAUAAGAAUUCCCAGCCUGAGAGGACCUUGGAACCAGAAGGAAUUGGAGGAGAUUUAAACAAGCUGACCCAAGGAAAGCACAAGAUCUUUCUAUGCAUUGAAGAUCACCAAAUCAAAGAUAAAAGUGCUCGACCAUUAUGGCCUAUGGCAAACUCGGGCUGGCUGAAGCAUCCUUCUCUUCCAUUUAGAACCCUGGUGAGGCCCCUUAGACCACCACUGGGCUGUCCUCCUCCCUCCUCAGAGACAGAGUUCUGGGCUGGGCCAUGGAGGUGUCUGUCAACACGGCAGUAGUCCUCGUUCUAUGGAAAACCAGCUGUUCCCUGUGACACGACUCCAUUCCCGCAGCUGCCUGCUAUUCAGCUGGGCUGACGGACAGCAGAGCACAGGGUUGGAAGACCACCCUCUCAGACAGUUUGAAAUCUCUAAAAGGCCGCCGUGUCCCGGCUUUAAAAAGAGGUGAAGCACAUCUCUCGGCACAUGCUUCUGCAUAGGUGAGGCCUCAGCGAGGCGUCCUGGCCCCUGAGUGGAGAUGCUCCCCUCAGCCGUGCCUCAGCUCCAGGGCACCAUCACGAGAGGCUUCGUUCAGGGUCUCCUGCCUGCGGACCACCUCUUACGUCUCCUCCUCACCUUCUGGUGUCGUCUCAACCAACUCAGACCUUCAGAUCAGAGG
rnacentral:lncRNA from 1 species